rnacentral:rRNA from 1 species
AGCCCAGACUCCUACGGGAGGCAGCAGUGAGGAAUAUUGGUCAAUGGCCGAGAGGCUGAACCAGCCAAGUCGCGUGAGGGAAGACGGCCCUACGGGUUGUAAACCUCUUUUGUCGGGGAGCAAAGAGAGUCACGUGUGACUCAUUGAGAGUACCCGAAGAAAAAGCAUCGGCUAACUCCGUGCCAGCAGCCGCGGUAAUACGGAGGAUGCGAGCGUUAUCCGGAUUUAUUGGGUUUAAAGGGUGCGUAGGCGGAAUGCCAAGUCAGCGGUAAAAUCGCGGGGCUCAACCUCGCUCCGCCGUUGAAACUGGCGAACUCGAGAGGGAGAGAAGUAGGCGGAAUGCGCAGUGUAGCGGUGAAAUGCAUAGAUAUUGCGCAGAACUCCGAUUGCGAAGGCAGCCUACCGGCGCGCAACUGACGCUCAUGCACGAAAGCGUGGGUAUCGAACAGGAUUAGAUACCCCCGUA